AGAUUGAACGCUGGCGGCAUGGCUAAAACAUGCAAGUCGAACGCGAAAGGCUUCGGCCGAGUAGAGUGGCGAAAGGGCGAGUAAUGCGUUUCUAACGUACCCCGAAGUGCGGGAUAGCUCUCCGAAAGGAGAAUUAAUACCGCAUAAUCCUGCGGGACCGUAUGGUCCUGUUGGUAAAGGCUUGCCGCUUCGGGAGCGGGGAACGUCCUAUCAGGUAGUUGGUGAGGUAACGGCUCACCAAGCCUUAGACGGGUAGCGGGUGUGAGAGCACGGCCCGCCGCGUCGGGACUGAGACACUGCCCGGACUCCUACGGGAGGCUGCAGUAACGAAUAUUCCACAAUGCGCGAAAGCGUGAUGGAGCGAUGCCGCGUGCAGGAUGAAGCCCCUCGGGGUGUAAACUGCUGUCAGGGUUACCAAUCAAUUGAGGAGCCCCAGAGGAAGAGGCGGCUAACUCUGUGCCAGCAGCCGC
rnacentral:rRNA from 1 species